UAUGGAUGUAGCUCAAUGGUAAAGUACUUGCCUAGCAUGUGCAAGGCCCUGGGUUCAGUCCCCAGAACUAUAA
rnacentral:tRNA from 1 species